GCUAAGGAUGAUCUAAUCCAAGUUGUUUGAGGUGCAGCAGAUCUAAGUCUUUGCUCUGCAGAAAGAACUUACUUGGUGAAGCUGCAUUCACAUGAUAUUACUAGAUUUUACUGAGGC